AGCGAACGCUGGCGGCAGGCCUAACACAUGCAAGUCGAACGAACCUUUCGGGGUUAGUGGCGGACGGGUGAGUAACACGUGGGAACGUGCCUUUAGGUUCGGAAUAACUCAGGGAAACUUGUGCUAAUACCGAAUGUGCCCUUCGGGGCAAAGAUUAAUCGCCUUUAGAGCGGCCCGCGUCUGAUUAGCUAGUUGGUUGAGGUAAUGGCUCACCAAGGCGACGAUCAGUAGCUGGUCUGAGAGGAUGAUCAGCCACAUUGGGACUGAGACACGGCCCAAACUCCUACGGGAGGCAGCAGUGGGGAAUCUUGCGCAAUGGGCGAAAGCCUGACGCAGCCAUGCCGCGUGAAUGAUGAAGGUCUUAGGAUUGUAAAAUUCUUUCACCGGGGACGAUAAUGACGGUACCCGGAGAAGAAGCCCCGGCUAACUCCGUG
rnacentral:rRNA from 1 species